CGCGAUCCGCUUAUUCAUCUCCCACAUCGAUUCGAUUCGAUCCCCCAUUCCCAUCCGAAACCGAAACCCUAACUCCGCUCCGCCCCGCCCCGCCCGGCCCUGUUCCUCGCCUUCGCCCUCGCCCCCCGCCCCAAGACUGUCCUAAGUAGGCGUUCGAUCGCUUACAUCGAGGGUCGUUUCCGUCUUCCUCCGGAGCUCCGACUAGGGCUUCGAAGAUAUCUGUUUCGAGCCAUUUGCUUCUGGUGACAUACCAUCGAGCUCGUGUCUUGUUCGAUGCAAUUCUUACCGGGUUGUCAUAUGAUCGUUGUUCAUUUUCUCCAAUCCAAAUGAUCGAGUAUAUGCCGUAGUCGACUAGGAUGGACGCCAAUGAAAGCAACGCGAUUGCCGUUCACAAUCCGAGAGCCCGGAAGUUGCGAUCAUUGGUCUGGAAUGAUUUCACUAAGGAGCGCAAGGCCGAUGGGAGCUACGUCGCCGUAUGCAACCACUGCAAGAAGCAGCUCACGGCGAGCAGCCGGAGUGGGACGACGCAUCUGAAGAACCACCUGGUGAUUUGCACAUCUACCAAGCGGAUCAAGCGCAAGAAGCUGGUCGUCCGCCGGCUCGUCCUCACGUCGAGCGACGCCAAGAGUGAGGGUGUUCUGAGUUCCGAUCACUCCCAGUUUGAUCAGGAGGCGAGCCGGCAAGAUCUCGCCCGCAUGGUCAUUCUGCAUGGGUAUCCGUUCAACAUCGUCCAUCAUGUCGGCUUCAGGACAUUUGUUAGGAAUCUUCAGCCACUCUUUAAAUUGGUGUCCGCCGAUGUCGUGAAGGCAGAUUGCAUGAAGAUGUACGAGAAUGAGAGGCUGAGGUUGCAUGAAGUACUAGACAGGCUACAUUCUCGGGUCAGCCUCAAUGUCGAUGUGUGGAGGUCGAAUGAGGAUGUAGAGUAUGCUUGUGUGUCGUGCCACUAUGUUGAUAAUGAUUGGAGGCUUAAGAAGAAGAUCCUUAACUUUGCUCAUGUCGGAUGUCCAGAGAAGGAACAAGAAAUCAGUAAAAUUAUAUUGGAGAAGUUGCAGGAGUGGAAUAUCGAUGGGAAGCUAUGUAGCAUAGUUCUCGACAAUUGUAGAACCAGUGAUUUGGUGGCAAGUGAGCUUCUUGGAUCCCUUCGUAUGAAGGGUUUCCUUAUUUCAAAUGGUGAUCUAUUCUAUGCCCGAUCUUGUGGUCAUUUGCUGAAUCUUGUUGUCCAGAAAGGCCUCGAAUUGGCUUGUGAAAUCAUUGAUAGAGUCCGUGCUUGCGUGCAAAAUGUAAAAUCCUCACAAGACAGGCUAGCAAGAUUUCAGAAAGAUGCCGAGCAAAUGGGCAUCCCACAAAAGCCAUUAGUUCUUGAUGCUCCAGCUAGUUGGCCAUCAACAUACUUCAUGCUUGAAACUGCAUGUCAAUAUCAAGAGGCUUUUAAGAACUUAGCAGAGAAUGAUGUGGAAAACACAUGCUUUCUUUCACCGAAGGAUUGGAGUGAUGUUAGAGCUAUUGUUGGGUGUCUACAAGUGCUUUACAAUGAUGCUAUGGUCAAGUUUUCUGCUGCAGGAGUCCCAACUUCCAAUCUAUUUUUUAGAGAUAUGUGUGGUAUUCAUUUGCUAUUGAAGUCCUGGUGCAGUAGCCCGCAGCCUUUUGUUGCGUCAAUGGCCAAAGAGAUGCUUGAGAAAUUUGAACAGUAUUGGGAUUUAACUAGAAUGCCAAUGGCAAUCGCUUCUGUUUUAGAUCCUCGAUAUAAGAUGAAGCCAGUUGAAUACUUCUUCAAUCGAAUUUAUGAUGAUGCAUCUGAAGCCAAGACAAAGAUCGAUAAUGUUCGUGACAGCUUUGUAAAUCUGUACAAUGAAUAUAUAGGCCAGUCUGCUAAUUCUUCAAAAAACCAAGCCUCCUAUGGUGGAAAUAGUAGUAGCUAUGACGGUGCUGACCAUGGGAAUGGUGCAGAAUGUAAAUCUUCUCGUGUCACACUAUCUGACACACAACGUGGGUUGGAUCAGUAUCUUAAAGAGACGUCAUCAGGUCAUCCAGCAAGAUCUGAUCUGGAUAUGUACUUGGAAGAAGCUGUUCAUCCCUCAAAAAGUCUUGAUGACAAUUUUGAUAUCUUAGCUUGGUGGAAAUAUAAUGCUGCCAAAUAUCCUGCUCUUUCUAUGAUGGCUCGUGAUAUUUUAGCAAUUCCUAUUUCAGUAGUUCCGUUAGACAGUGAAGCGAGAUCAUUAAAUCACUAUUUAAGUGCGACCGAUGCAGUGAUUGUAGAAUGCUUGAUAUGUGCACAAGAUUGGAUAGGAGAUGAAACAGAGGUGUCGCCAGUGAACACCCUUGCACUUGUUUCUUCGGCUGCUAGCUUUGAGGGCCAUGGUGAUGAGUACUUGUUACCUGCUGAUGGUGAUUAGUUUUCACCAAUGUGAAGCAGGAACUGUAGCAUUUUAAGGCAACUGAAAGACAGAAUGAUUAUUGACUCCACAUGCUGACUCACAAAGCCGAAUCUUGUAGUUCUUCUACUCUUCUCACAUGUGUAUCAAGAAGAACCAGUUCGGACCAGUUCGAUGGGCAUUGUAAUUUAUUGUGCUAUCUAUUCUGGCCUUAUUUAACAAAUGCAUAGACUUGUCCAUCUUGCAAGUAUAAAAGCUAUUCGGGGUCCAUCUUGCAAGCAUAAAACCUAUUCGGGAUAUAUAGUCUUCGUCAUCUUUUGUUGUCUCUGCAAGCAUUAUCUGAUCAAUGACUCAGAACUCUCACUUGAAGGGAACCUGUCAAUCAAUUGGAUAUUGCAUGCUGUGGUGGAUCGUCAAAGAGGUCAUGAAGCCCUUGGUCCCCAGAAGCUGUAGAUGCUUGUACUUGCAUGAAGGAAAUAUAUGUUGAGAUAACAACAGAUAAUUAUAAGUCUCAAGUCGCCACAGCUACAUAUUUUGAGGUAACAAAACAUUUACAUUAGAUUGGACUUGUUUGUUGAUUUUCUCUGAUGGCAUUAGCACGAGAAACACACAUGCAAACCCUGCAAGUUGAAGAUGUGCAUGUUCAUUCAUUCAUAUCAUAUAAAUAAGAAGUACAUGCACCAAAUCAAAUUGUAAAGGCAUGUGUAGUAAGUUUUUUUGCUCUGAAUAGAAUUUAUGGCCGAAUUCUACCUUGGGUUUUUGUGAA